CAGGGAACGGGAAGCCUGGCUGCCUCAAGUUAGACGAGUGGGUAAGGGGUGUCAGCCUUCUUACCGCUUUCUGUGAGAUUAAUGGCUUGGCCUGCACAGGUAGAGCACCUUUCGGGUCUUGCCAACUCACCUUGCGGGAGGGAGCGGAGGGAACAGAGGGGAAGCAGCGGGAACAGCUGAGCUUGCGGCGGAGCCGGCUGUCACCUGGGGAAGUUCUUUGGUGAAACGCGUCGGUACAGUGGCCGGUUGCGGGAGCUGUGAGGCCAAAGCCCGGGCCGGAGGAGAUGGUUCCGGAGGGGCGGCGCAAGCUCCUACAGGGCUCGGGUGCGACCAAGUCAGGGCCUCGGUCGGGGGCUGAGAGAACUGGAGGACUGACUUCAGUGCUUCGAGUCUGAGAAAAAUGGCAAACAUGGAUAGUGAUUCUAGGCAUCUUCUCAUCCCUGAGGUAGAUCAUGAAGUAAAUCCUGGACCUAUGAAUAUCCAGUUUGAUUCAUCAGAUCUAAGAUCCAAAAGUGAGAAGUAAAUGCCUUGCCUUGGUACAUCCCAUUUCUAAUGGAGGACAAGAAGUUAUUUUCUUCAAUGGCUGACAUCCAGAAUUUCUGCCUGAACGUUCUUUGUCAAGUGUAUAUUCCCUUCUCUAGGCCUUUCUAUAUAGAGCCCACAAACAUCGUCAAUGUGAAUGAUGUCAUUCAGAGGGUUAGUGACCAUGCCUCUGCCAUGAACAAGAGGAUUCAUUACUACAGCCGGCUCACCGCUCCUGCAGACAAGGCACUGAUUGCCCCGGAUCAUGUAGUUCCAGCUCCAGAAGAGUGCUAUGUGUAUAGUCCAUUAGGUUCUGCUUAUAAACUUCAGAGUUACACUGAAGGAUAUGGUAAAAACACCAGUUUAGUAACCAUUUUUAUGAUUUGGAAUACCAUGAUGGGAACAUCUAUACUAAGUAUUCCUUGGGGCAUAAAACAGGCUGGGUUUACUACUGGAAUGAUUGUCAUCAUACUGAUGGGCCUUUUAACACUUUAUUGCUGCUACAGAGUAGUGAAAUCACGAGCUAUGAUAUCAUCAGUGGAUACCACCACCUGGGAAUAUCCAGAUGUCUGCAGAUAUUAUUUUGGCUCCUUUGGGCAGUGGUCGAGUCUUCUUUUCUCCUUGGUGUCUCUUAUUGGAGCAAUGAUAGUUUAUUGGGUGCUUAUGUCUAAUUUUCUUUUUAAUACUGGAAAGUUUAUUUUUAAUUUUAUUCAUCACAUUAAUGACACAGAUGCUGUACCAGGUACCAAUGAUAGCAACCCUGUGAUUUGUCCAAGUGCCAGUAGUAGUAACCAUCCUGACAAUGGCUCUAUGAUUUUCUACGCCAAUGACACGGGACUCCAACAGUUUGAAAAGUGGUGGAAUAAGUCCAAGACAGUGCCCUUUUACCUUAUAGGGCUCCUCCUGCCACUGCUCAAUUUCAAAUCUCCUUCAUUUUUUUCAAAAUUUAAUAUCCUAGGCACAGUGUCCGUUCUCUAUUUGAUUUUUCUUGUCACCUUCAAGGCUUUUCACUUGGGAUUUCAUUUGGAGUUUCAUUGGUUUUUGCCAACAGAAUUUUUUGUCCCAGAGAUAAGAUUUCAGUUUCCACAGCUGACUGGAGUGCUUACCCUUGCUUUCUUUAUUCAUAAUUGUAUUAUCACACUCUUGAAGAACAAUAAGAAUCAAGAGAACAAUGUGAGAGACUUGUCCAUUGCUUAUAUGCUGGUGACAUUAACCUAUCUCUAUAUUGGAGUCCUGGUUUUUGCCUCAUUUCCUUCACCACCUUUAUCCAAAGAUUGUAUAGAGCAGAAUUUUUUAGACAACUUCCCUAGCAGUGACAUCCUGUCCUUCAUUGCAAGGAUAUUCCUGCUGUUCCAGAUGAUGACUGUGUACCCACUCCUAGGCUACUUGGCUCGUGUCCAGCUAUUGGGCCAUAUCUUCGGUGACAUUUAUCCUAGGUAAGGGCUCUUCUCUUGACCAGCAAGAUGUGCCAAGCAACAAAUGACUGUGCAAACAGGUCAGUUUAAAAUGUGACUGAUCCUUUUGCUAUAAAAAUUUGCCUAAUGAAAAGAGUUACUAAGGAUAGAUCAUUGGUGUUCUUUUCCCAGAAGAGCUUUAAAAAUAGAAGCCACUCCCUUGUCCAGAAUGGUUUAAAGUUAGUUCCUUCCAGUAUAGUUAUCUUAGCUCUGAUACCAGUUAUAUUUAUCUUAUGAUUGAGCUGCUAUUAAUCUACUCUUUGCCAAUAAGUUAAUAGUGUAUAAUGCCUGUGUUAGCCAUGUAUGGCUAAUGAGAAGUAACUAUUUUAAUAUUGGUUAUUGGUAUUUACUUGUAAAUUUAUUAACAUUCAUGCAUUUUUACCUAAAUGAUAAUUGUUUGAUUAAAGAUGAGGUACAUAACAAAUAUAAAUUCUUAUUUGCUUCUGUCACUAUUACUGUUACUUACACUGUCACUUUUUAAUUUCUUAUUGGUUGUAGAAGAGUUGUGAGUCCUUGUGAAAAUCUGUUCAAAUGUAGUCACCCUCGUCCAAAGAGACUUUUUUAUAUACAGCUUGGAGGAUUCCCUAAAACUUCCUUGUGGACCCCUGGUUAACUCCUACUCUUACCUUAAGUUUCAUUAUAGAUUCGUUCCAGUAAAAAGUACCUAGUCCUAACCUGUUUUGGGGGGAGUAAAUGAUCUUAAGUGAAGAAAACUUUUGGAUAAAAUUUGAAAAAAAUUGCAUUUAUAGUAACCAGCUAAACAAGUGGUUUUAACCAGUUUAAAGUGAGCUGAUGUAAUCUUUCCCCUCAUUAAAUAAUUAGUUAUAAAUAUGUAUGUUUAAAAACAAAAAACUUUUAAAAGCAAAAGCAAGGGUUAGCAGGCCUAGCCCAGGGGGGAGAGGGAGGGAGUGGGAGGAUGGGGAGCUGGGGGUUAUUGGAUACAACUUGGAAUGGAUUUACAAGGAGAUCCUGCUGAGUAGCAUUGAGAACUAUCUCUAGAUACUUAGAUUGCAACAGAACAAAGGAUGAGGAAAAAAAUGUAUACAUAUAAGUGUAACUUGGUCCCCAUGCUGUACACCGGGGAAAAAAAAAUAAACUAAAAUUAAAAAAAAAAAAGAGUUAGCAGGCCUCUAGCAUGGACAGUAUUAGCAGCUACAGUUCUCACAUUGGAUUUCAAUAAAUGUAAGAUUCCUGUUGUGUUUAUACAACCUGCUCUAUUUAUGUUCACCAAAUAAAAUAUAGUGAAGUCAUAGAUGAAAAAAAUUUUAAGUAAAUGUAUUAUUCCUGUUUUAUGCCAUCAUUUUGCAUAAUGUUGACUCUUAGAAUGUUUGUUCUUCUUGGAAAAGUCUGGACUUUCCCUUCUGUGUUCACAUUAUGUUUCUUCCCCUACUACCAAGAACACAUUGUCAUGUAUCCUACAGUUAUAAGUACUCUACAAACUGCACACUUUGGAGCAUACUUUUCAGUCUCAGGACCCCCUUCAUUCUCUUAAGAUUCAUUUGAGGUCCUGCAGGAACUUUAGUUUAUGUGGGUUAUAUCCAGCAAUAUUUAAUAUUGUAAAAAAUUAAAACAGAAUUUUAGAAAUAUUUAUUAAUUUAUUUAAAAGACAGUGAUAAAACCUUUACUUGUUAACAUAAAUAACAUUUUUAAAAAUUUAUUUCCAAAAAAUCUUUUCUUUUACAUUUAAAAACUCUUUUAAUGUCUGAUCUGCUAGUAGAUAAUUGGAUUCUUGUAUCUUCUUCUGCAUUCAGUCUGUUGUAAUAUGUUGUUUUUAUUUAAAUAUGUGAACAGAAUCCACCCUCCCAGAGACACAUAGUUGGAACAAGUAGGAGUACUUUUAAUAGCCUUUUCAGAUCACUGUGGAUAUUCUUUAAUACUAUGCCAAACCUUGACAAAUAGUAGUUUCUUAAAAGUUAGUUGAAUCUGAAAUUCAGUUACAUUAAUAUCCACUGGUCUGUGUUACAUUUUGGAUCUUUCACCUAUGCAUGAUUUUGUAACAUCAGGUUUAGUCAUUUGGGAAAUAUGGGUUCAUUGAGUUCUGUAGGUCUUCCAAAUGUUGAUACACAUCAUUAUAUAACAUCAAGACCCACAUUCAUUAAUAUCACCACCAAUUACAUUAUAAAAGUCUUUAAGGUGUUAGAAAACUGUCAAGCUCUCCAAAAUUCUAAAAUUCUAAUUUUCACUUGAAAGCCCAAAUUUUAUCUUUGGCAACACAAACUACCAGUUGUUUUCUUGAAAUGAUAAGAUUACAUCAUUCAUUUUCAAGAAAAUGUCUGUCAGAUACCCAAAUCUAAAGAACCAUAGUUUGUCUGCCUUUCAAAUAAAAAUAGUGGUCUUUGGGGGAAAAAAAGACAACACAGUUGUCCUCCAGCCCACUCGCACAAGUACUUGUCCUCAGGACUACCACAGUGCUUCAGUAUGCAGCAGAUGUGCUUUAUUAUGUACUUUGUAUUUAAUAUCAAUAUACAUGAAUAUUAAAAAGGUGUGUGUUCAAGGACAAUUUUUAAUAAACCUUUUUAGGGUGUUUGGCAGUAAAGAAUGUAGUAUAGAAUACAGGUAGGUGCAACUGCCUCUAUCCAUGCUAAGGGGACAACACUUAGCAUUGCUUUUGCAAAGCAAAUAAUGUUUUGUCUGAUUAGAACAUAACUUUUACCACGGAGCUUCCUGAAAGGGUAUUUGGAACUUCCUUUCAGUUCAUGGUUACACUUUGAGAAUCACUGCUUUGGAAAAUACACAAAGAUGUUCCCUUUUACAAUACAGAAAUAACAAAGGCCCAGCCAAUGUCUCAGAGCUCUGAAGCAAUUUUAAGGUUGGAGUUUUUGAGUAAAUGCUUGAAUAUAUUUAUAAUUCAUCAAGAUGUAUGACUGACCACUUAUUUGCAUAAGUAACUUGACUUAUUCUUAAUUCUUUCUGUAAUCUUUAUCUGUGAUUAAACUCUGGUAACUUGGACUCAGAGUUUGCUUUGAUGCAUAAAUUUGGCUUUUAAGAAUCAUUUUUUGGGGAAAUGGAGUUAUUUCUUGAAGUUCAUCUACAUUACAUUUACUUUUGUCCAAAAUUGAUUCCCAGACCUUGAAUUGUUAAUAUCUAAUUCAAGUUAUUUAGCAGAUAUUCUAUUCAUGGUAAAUACAGAAUGCUGUAAAGUGGCUGAAUCUGAAAUUUUGCCUUUCUCUUAAUAUAAUUUAUUUCUCUAAUGAUAAAGGUAAAAUAAACACUUUGCAAAGAAAUGUUCUCAAAUGUAUAAAUUAAAAUAUUUUAAAGUUCCUGAAAUAUUCGUUUCAGGAAUAUUCCUGGGCUCAGUGAAAACGAAUCUGACUAGAACACAGUUUGAUCCCUGGCCUCUAUCCACGGGUUAAGGAUCCAGCAUUGCUGUGAGCUGUGGUGUAGGUCGCAGACGCGGCUUGGAUCUGGCAUUACUGUGGCUAUGGUGUAGGCUGGCAGCUACAGCUCUGAUUCAACCCCUAGCUUGGGAACCUCCACAUGUUGCAGGUGUGGCCCUAAAAAGACAAAAAAAAUUAAAAUAUUUUAAAAUGUGUUAAAUAUAGAAAAGAAGAAAAAUUACCCCAAACCCCAAAUUAUAACGCAGUCACUACUACCUUUGCGGUGUAUUGCCUUCUGAUAGUUUUCAAAUGUUUUCAGAUUUUCUUGUGUAAUAAAAAUCUAGCUAGCUUUUCCCCAAGUUGCCUAGAUGAAUUUUUACUAUCUAGGUAACAGUGAUUAUUUACUUUUAAUAAUUUUUAAUAUAUUCUGUCAAGUAAAUCGUUACCCUGAUGUAUUUCUAGGAUGCUUCUGUCUUCCCACAAAUAUCUUUAUGUUAAUAGCUUUUUUAUUAUUUUCUUAAGAUACUCCAUCCAAAUGGAAUGAUGAAUCAAAGAGUAUGAGUCCUGAUGCACACUACCAGUUUGCUCCUACAAAAUGUAACCUAUUUAUAUAAUUGUACAGAAGGGCCAAUAUCACUGUCCCAUCACCACUCUUGAGUUCUAUUGUUCCUUUCUAUUUAUCCUGUAAUUUUUUUUCUGGCUGCACCCACAGCAUGUACAAGUUCCUGGGCCAGAAAUUGAACCCAUACCACAGCAGUGACCCAAGCCACAGCAAGUGACAACACUGGAUCCUUAACCUGCUGUGCCACAAGAGAACUCCUAUACUAUAAUUUUAUUAUCAAGUUUAAAAUAUUUUCAUUUUACAGAUGAUAAUAAUGAAUUUUAUUCUCAUAUUAAUUGUUAUAAUUUGCCUGUUUUUAUAUAUAUUCUUCCUCCAAACUCUCUUCUCAACUUCUAGUAUUUUCCACGUGCUGAUUCUUAAUCUAGUUAUUGUGGGAGCUGGAGUGAUCAUGGCCUGUUUCUACCCAAACAUAGGAGGAAUCAUAAGAUAUUCAGGAGCAGCGUGUGGCCUGGCCUUUGUAUUCAUAUAUCCAUCCCUCAUCUAUAUGAUUUCCCUCUACCAAGAAGAGCGUCUAACAUGGCCUAAAUUCAUCUUUCACGUUUUCAUCAUUAUUUUGGGCCUGGCUAACCUGGUUGUUCAGUUUUUUAUGUGAAAUACUCAACUGUCUUCUCAAGAUCUUUCAUGGUACUUGGAAUUUUGACAACAGUUCCACAUAAAUUCACUUGUAAAUGCUGUUGUUGCCGUAAUUCUAAAUGUUUUCCUAAGGUAAUUUGAAAACAAGGGAAAUAGUGGUCCAUUAGUAAGUAAUUAUUAUGGGGGGGCAAUAAGAGUGAUCUUAAUUGCUUUAUCUUUUUCAUAUUAACUGUUCAUUUUUACUGUCUUUUCUGAGUAGAAAUGUAUGCCCCUAGGAAAAAUCAUUCUGGGUUUUGCUUUUAGAAAGGUAAGGUGAGUGGGUUUAUUUUAGGUAUAAUUAAGAUUCUCAGGGUGUCACAGCAGCUAUAUUGCUAGAUCCCAUCUCUGUUUUAUGGUUCAUUGAUUCACUUUCAAUUUAUUACUUGCUAGACCAUCUCUGCAGGUUCCCCAAACCAUUGCUGUUUUGGACAGUAAACCAAAUACCUCAUUUUUUAAAUAGAAGUGUCCAUGACAGUGUUAGUAGAGUGGAUUCUUACAUGAGUCCUUAACCUCUGUUUUAAAAAAAAGAAAAGGAAAAACAAACAAACAAUAUCUAUACAGGCCCCAUGGUCAUGAAACUUAUACAGAAUAAAGGAACUAGGAGAGUUUGCUGCCAUCUGACUCCUCUUUUGUUUCUAAUCCAGUACCAGCUCCCUUUACCAUAUUUUACAUAGGAACAAGUAUGAUUGUCCUCAUAGACCCAGGGGGCUCUUUUGCUUUUUGGGUUUUUUUGUUGGUUGUUUGGGUUUGGAUUUUUUUUAGGGCUUUUUUUUUUUUUUUUUUUUUGGCCUUUUUUUGUCUUUUGACGGCCACACUCGCAGCAUAUGGAGGUUCCCAGGCUAGGGGUCGAAUCAGAGCUGUUGCUGCCAGCCUAUGCCAGAGCCACAGCAACACCAGAUCCAAGGCGCAUUUGUGACCUACACCACAGCCCGCUAAGCAACGCUGGAUCCUUAACCCACUGAGUGAGGCCAGGGGUCGAACCCUGAACCUCAUGGUUCCUAUUCAGAUUCGUUUCCACUGUGCCAUGACGGGAACUCCUCUUUUGCUUUUUGGAUCCCUGAGGAUUGUAUAGGAUGUACUGGUGGGGAAGCAUAGCAGAGUGGGAUAUCGGAGGCCCUAAGAGAAUAGAGAGGGUCCAGAAAGAGUGAGGCCUCCUUCAUGGAAUGAAAGUGAUUUCUUUUAACACAAGAAAGGAUUCAUUCUGUUUGAAGUAUGACCUCUAGAAGGAGACUGCUCUCGGCUUACUUCUGUAACUGGCAGGGCAGAGGUUAAAUCCCCAAGAAAAACUACUGGGACCUGAGAAAAGUUUAGGGAAUCUGAAUUCUUGGAGUUAACACUCUCUUUUUCUUUCAAACCAAAGACUGAACUAAAAUCCAUGUCUUCCAUGUGAUACAGCCUCUGUGUUUCGGCUGGAAAUUUUAGAUUUCUCUAAUUUUAUGCUAAUAUUAAACAUGUAUUGUGUUAAUACAUAUCCCAAGAUAGUAUGUAGAUUUGUGUUGCCUUUCCUUCCUUUGAGAAGGACAGGUGAAAUGGUUUUUUAAAACCUGUAAAAGAGUCCUGCAUUCAAGACCAGCCAUUAUUUCUUUUAGUAGAGCUUUCUGUCUGGUCCAUAGACCCAUACCUAUAUCGAUGAACUAUAUUUCCUAAAGCUUUUUAAAAAAUUUUUUUGAAAAUUCUGAAGCAUAUACAAAAAUAGAGAAAAUAUGAUACCCCCCCACAUACCCAUCCCCUAGAUUUAGUAAUAUAAGACUUUGCUGCAUUGCUCAUCUGUUUCCCCUUUUUUCUUUUCCCCUGAAAUAUUUUAAUCUUGGAUGUUAUGUCAUUUCAUCUCUACAAACCUUAAUAUGAACUAAUAACCUCUUGAAUUUAUAUUUAUUGAGGGAGACAGUCUCUCUAAAGGUUUGUUUUGGGGUUUGUUUUUUUUGUUUUGUUUUUGUUUUUGUUUUUUUGGUCUUUUUAGGGCUGCACCCUUGGCAUAUGGAGGUUCCCAGGCCAGGGGUCAAAUUGGAGCUACAGCUGCCAGCCUACACCACAGCCACAGCAAUGCCAGGUCCUUAAUCCACUGAGCAAGGCCAGGGAUCAGACCUGCAUCCUCAUGGAUCCUAGUCAGAUUUGUUUCUGCUGAUCCACAUCAGGAACUCCUUGAAAGUUUGUUUUUUUGUUUUUUUUUUUUUUGUUUUUUUUUUUAUUAGCAGAAACUGCUGGUAGAGUUAGGUGAAUUAGAAAUUCUGUAUUAGGUAUCUGGAUCCCUGAGUUAACCUCUCUUAGAACAGGAGUAUAAGGCAGGGAGAAAGUGUGUCUCUGUGCUUGGUGAAUGUCUGACUCUUUAUGACUUGAGAGUUCUGUACGGUUAAAGACAUAGGAAUCCAAAGCUAGACCUUGAGAGAUCUUCUAGGCUUAAUCCUUGUUUAUCCCUAGUUGCCUCCCUUGUCUUGGAAAACUUCAAAGUUUUAAUUGCCUUUUUUCAAUGAUAUGCUUGAAUGUUUUAACACAUGGAAAAAUGAUUUGAUAUAUUUUUACCCAGUUAAUGAUCAAAGUGAGUAUGAUAAUGAAUGUAUUAUUUAUUAAACUAAAAAGCAAUGUGGGUAUUUGCUUUUUGUUUUCUUUAAAAGACUUGAUAAUUUAUAACUUCCAAAAUCCUACGUUAGACUUAUGCUGAAUGACUUUGCCUUUUUAGAUUUUUCUUCACAAAAACCAAAACCUUUGGCCUGUUACUUAGCUUGGUCAGAAAACUCUUUGUGUGAGUAUGUUUGUCCUGGCUCAGACAUUACAAUGAUAAGAACUCCUUCUGAUCACAUUACAGUUUAAGUUUAGACCUUCUCUACUGUCAUCUCUUUGAAUUUUCUAAUUAAAUUUCUUUCACUUUUUGCUCUGAUGUGGUUAAUCUUAAUUUCUUUUAAUUCAGCUUAUUUAACAUAACUGGGGGCAUUAUAAAGUUUAAAAUAGCUUGUUUAGAGAGCUCUUCCUUGGAAAGGCCCUGGAUGAAUACGUGGUAUGCUAAUACUAAGCCAGAAAGGACAAAGAAAUAGGCUUUGACAUUUGACAUCUGUGAAUGAUUGUCCAAAAUCAAUUUCACCAUCACACCCAAAAAAUGCAUUGGAAUAAGGAAUAUAUUUACCUACAAAAAGAGACUGUAUUAGAGAGAAAUAUUCAUUUUAUUUACGUUAAGUAUAUUUUGCAAGUAUAAUACAGAUAUUAGAAAUGUUGAGGUAAACUCUACUUGGAGUUUAUUAGGAAAAUUUUUUAUCUGUAUUUUGACUCUUUCCUUUCCAUAAAUAAUUGAAUCAACCACUGUCAGUGAGAGGGAAAUUUCUCCCAUCCCUCUUGAGUCCUUUUGUUGGUCUAAUAAUAAAAUUGAUUCAAGGCAGAUAAUAGAAAAAGAAAAAAAAAAACAGUUUAAUUCACAUGCUUGGAAUUCUCAUAGAAACAGGACCCCCAAAGUGACCAAAGCAGCUAUUUAUAUAUAAUUUUCAGACAAAGAAAUAUCUGUGAAGAUUCGGGUUGUGCUUGUGUAGCAAACUAAUGAAGAAGUAACAAAGUUUGUUUAUAUAAAUUUUUAAGCCUUGAAUGAUCUAACCCUGGUGACAAGGAUGCUUUCUAUCCUCUGGUAUAGGGAGGAUACCUUCAUCUGAGAGAUUUAUUUCUCAGUUUCAUAGAGAAAGAGAGAGUCAGUAUUUUUUGUAUCUUUUUUUUUUCCACCAGAGAUUUCUCAGGUAAAUUUAAUUCAAAAUAAUUAAUAUGCCACCAUGGCAUAUCUUAAGGCAGCCUGCCCAGAGCCCCUACAGUGCAGUGUUUAGUACUUUAGAAGAGGCAAAUAUGUAUAAAAUAUCAUUCAAUCCUAAAGGAGCGCUUAGUUUUGCACAGGAACUAUGCCUGCAGUUAACAUAUAGUUAAUAUGUAGUACCUAUAAUGCAAGGUAUUAUCAGACAAAGAGAAAUGGAUCCCUUCAAGUUGGGAUCCUCAGGGAGGGCAGAUAAAGGAAGCUGAAUGGUAGGGCUGCGAUGACUCAUUUUCAGCCUUCUCCUAAUAACUAGCCAGAAUUUAAGAGAUGAUAUACAUCCACCAUCAAGUGGGACUUUGUAAAGUGUAAUUGCUUUUAUUUUGGCCAAUAACCUUUAAGAUAAAUUUUAUGAGAAAUGUUUACCUGCUUCUGUAUACUAUUUAUUGUUCUCUUUGCAUUUUAACACUGCAUAGUUCACAUCUCUGAAUCUUGGACAGCAAAGUACAAUUGAUCAAUAGCAGAAAUAAUGAGUAACACAUGGGGCAAUAUGAACAGAAUGAUUCUUUAAAAUUUUCUCUCCAAAAACUUGAUUUAUUUAAAUAUCUGUAUUCAAAUGUCAAAUGUUUGAGCUCAUUUACUAGAGCAGAAAUAACUGAUGCUGCUUGUUUUCUUUACAAAGUACUGACCUACUGCUUUUUAGAAUUUGGUGGCAGUGGUGAAAGCUUAUGUUCGAGAUAAAAAUCCAAAUCUAGCUGACACCUAAACAAUAGAAUGUUACGUUAGCCUGUUGUCCAAAAUGAAACGUGCACAAGGCGGCCUGGCUGGCCCCAGUUUCAGUCAACUGCCAACUUCACUUCAGAUUAUGUAAACAUGUAUUGCAAAACAGCUCUGACGGGAACCUCAUAACCUAAACAAUAUUCUCUGAAAUGUAAUUUGUUGUCUUUUUUAUAUAAAAGAAGAAAUUAAAUCAAAAUUAUUUUGAAGAAAAACAGCUAUGGGAUUUUGUUUAAUUGAGUUUUGCCAGGAAAUGCUAUUGUCUAGUAGCACUGACCCCAGGGCAGAAAGAAGCUGGAGUCCGUCUUUUGCAGGGUCAAACUUCUCAAGUGACUUGGCGUGUAUCACAUCAAGUCACUCAAGUGACUGCUGCCUCUCUCAUAACAGGCCACAAGGAGCUCUCCCUCGUGUUCUAGAUCCUAGAAAAAGGUAUAUGCUACUUUAUGUUAACUGAAACCUAAAAUGAUCAUCCCUUUCAGAUGAUAAACUUGUGACUUCUCCCUCUAAGAGCAUUAUCAGAAUGAAUGUGCUACUUCAGAUAAGUGUAGCCCAGUUUGUGGCAAAGAAUUUAGUAUCAUAAUCUUCCAGAGCCAUUUAAGGCAAGAAAGAGCUCUAAUUUUCUGCCUUCCUUAAGUAAAAUUCCUUACUUUCCCCAUGUCAUUUUUUUAUAUUUCUCAACUCUGCUGCAAAGAUGAAAGAAAACUAUGUCUUUUUAAAAGGUUAAAAAUUUCUCCAUUCUCCUUUUUCGUCAUGGGCCAGAAAGCAUAGGACUGGAAUAGGGAUUAAAAAGAGAAGACUGCAGAUAUUUCCUCCUUUGGCUCUCUCUAGAUAUCCCAAAUAAUCCAGUUGUGUUUGGCUCUAACAGGCACUUAAAAUGCACUUGCUUGGAGUUCCCAUCAUGGCUCAGUGAUUAACGAAUCUGACUAGGAACUGUGAGGUUUCGGGUUCGAUCCUUGGCCUUGCUCAGUUGGUUAAGGAUCCGGCGUUGCCAUGAGCUGUGGUGAAGUUGCCGACAUGGCUCAGAUCCCACGUUGCUGUGGCAGUGGUGAAGGCCGGUGGCUACAGCUCUGAUUAGACCCUUAGCCUGGGAACCUCCAUAUGCUGUGGUGCGGCCCUA